GUGGCGGUCAUAGACUAAAUCCCUGUUUUGCCACAGAACACAUGGAGCCCAGGCAGAAGCGAUGAAAGCUCCCCCAAUGGGACACUGGCAACAUGCCUCAAUCCUGACAUGGAAGGACCCCCCUGACAGCUGAAAGCACAGUUCAGUCUCCAGGGCCCAUUCAAUCCAUGGCCUAC
rnacentral:sRNA from 1 species